rnacentral:rRNA from 1 species
UUCGUAGGCGGGAUAUUAAGUCAGUGGUUAAAUCCUACAGCUUAACUGUAGAACUGCCAUUGAUACUGAUAUUCUUGAAUUCACCUGAAGUAGGCGGAACAUGACAUGUAGCGGUGAAAUGCUUAGAUAUGUCAUAGAACACCGAUUGCGAAGGCAGCUUACUAAAGUGAUAUUGACGCUAAGGAACGAAAGCGUGGGGAGCGAACAGGAUUAGAUACCCUGGUAGUCC